UAAUACCAGCUCCUCGAGUGGUCGGGGCGAUUAUUGGGCCUAAAGCAUCCGUAGCCGGUUCCGUAGGUCCUCUGUUAAAUCCAACCGCUUAACGGUUGACCUGCAGAGGAUACCGCGGGACUAGGAGGCGGGAGAGGCGGACGGUACUCCGCGUGUAGGGGUAAAAUCCUUUGAUCCGCGGAAGACCACCAGUGGCGAAGGCGGUCCGCCAGAACGCGCUCGACGGUGAGGGAUGAAAGCUGGGGGAGCGAACCGGAUUAGAUACCCGGGUAGUCCCAGCCGUAAACGAUGCUAGCUAGAUGAUUCAUUCGCAAGUCGCGAAUGAAGUGUCGCAGGGAAGCCGUUAAGCUAGCCGCCUGGGGAGUACGGUCGCAAGACUGAAACUUAAAUGAAUUGACGGUAUCGU
rnacentral:rRNA from 1 species